GCUGUGCGGCGUCGCCGUUUCGUGGAAAAAAAUGCAAAUUCAACAAUUAAAUUAUUAAAUUGUGAAAAAUUAUAGUAAAUGUGUUCCUGCUCAUCUUCUUUUGUUGUUGUUAAGAGUUUUUCGCACCACAGGGGCGCUUAGAAAUUUGCGCAGAGAAGCGCCAAAAUGUCGCAUGGAAGAAGAAGCAGAAAAGGCAGGCGUAGAAAAUUGCAAGUAUGACGUCAUAACAAGCGCAAUUUUGGAGCAAGUGAUAGCAAAGUUGGUUGUAAGAGUGAGACAGCAACAGAGAAAGUGCAAGUGCUAUUGAAAACCAACAAGUGCAACAACAUUUAACGUGUUAUACAACAAAUAAUGAGAAUGGCUAAGCCCAAUUAACUGUUUUCGUUUCUGAUAGCCGAAUAUGUGAACAAUAAUCGAAUUGGAUAAUUACAAAACAAGAAGUAAAUUGAUUCUUAUAAGCGUCGAUGGAUUAUUGAAAGCUUGAGAGCUGUAUUAACAAUUAAUUAUGCCACAAAGCGAAGUAAACAGAACAAUUGGAAAGUUUAAUAAGGCGCUUAGGAUAAAAUGAAUUGUAAACAACAAUUCAAUUGAUUCUUAUAAUCGAAAUGUGGAACUAACAGGAAAUUUACCAUGCUGGAAAUUUGCACAAUCACAAGGGAAUUAUAUUAAACUGGAAACGCUGAAAUUGUUUCAACGAUGCAAAUCAAAUUAGAAUGCUUAAAAUGUGAAACAAACUGUGCCUCAAAAAAGAGUUGACCAACAAGAAAGCUUAUUCUAUGCUUAUUCGAAAUGGUUUCUUAUAGGCAAUUCAGCU